UACAGAGGCCUCGAGCGUUAGGCGGAAUCACUGGGCUUAAAGCGUGUGUAGGCGGACUUCUAAGUGCCUUGUGAAAUCCCACGGCUCACCCGUGGAACGGCUGGGCAUACUGGGAGUCUUGAGCCACCUAGGGGCUGCCGGAACAAAUGGUGGAGCGGUGAAAUGCGUAGAUAUCAUUUGGAACGCCAACGGCGAAAGCAGGCAGCUGGGGAUGCACCGACGCUGAGACACGAAAGCCAGGGGAGCGAACGGG
rnacentral:rRNA from 1 species